AUGCAAGUCGAGGGGUAACGGAAGUAGCUUGCUACUAGACGACGACCGGCGCACGGGUGAGUAACGCGUAUGUAAUCUGCCUUGUACAGAGGGAUAGCCCAGAGAAAUUUGGAUUAAUACCUCAUAGUAUUACCGAAUCGCAUGAUUCGGUAAUUAAAGCUCCGGCGGUACAAGAUGAACAUGCGUGACAUUAGCUAGUUGGUAAGGUAAUGGCUUACCAAGGCCACGAUGUCUAGGGGUUCUGAGAGGAUGAUCCCCCACACUGGUACUGAGACACGGACCAGACUCCUACGGGAGGCAGCAGUGAGGAAUAUUGGUCAAUGGACGCAAGUCUGAACCAGCCAUCCCGCGUGAAGGAUGACUGCCCUAUGGGUUGUAAACUUCUUUUAUAUGCAAAUAAACCUACUUUCGUGAAAGUAGCUGAAGGUAGCAUAUGAAUAAACACCGGCUAACUCCGUGCCAGCAGCCGCGGUAAUACGGAGGGUGUAAGCGUUAUCCGGAUUUAUUGGGUUUAAAGGGUACGUAGGCGGUAAUAUAAGUCAGUGGUGAAAUCCUGCAGCUCAACUGUAGAACUGCCAUUGAAACUGUA
rnacentral:rRNA from 1 species